AUUGAACGCUGGCGGCAUGCCUUACACAUGCAAGUCGAACGGCAGCACGGGAGCAAUCCUGGUGGCGAGUGGCGAACGGGUGAGUAAAGCAUCGGAACGUGCCCAGUCGUGGGGGAUAACGUAGCGAAAGCUACGCUAAUACCGCAUACGAUCUGUGAAUGAAAGCGGGGGACCGUAAGGCCUCGCGCGAUUGGAGCGGCCGAUGUCAGAUUAGGUAGUUGGUGAGGUAAAGGCUCACCAAGCCGACGAUCUGUAGCUGGUCUGAGAGGACGACCAGCCACACUGGGACUGAGACACGGCCCAGACUCCUACGGGAGGCAGCAGUGGGGAAUUUUGGACAAUGGGCGCAAGCCUGAUCCAGCAAUGCCGCGUGCAGGAUGAAGGCCUUCGGGUUGUAAACUGCUUUUGUACGGAGCGAAACGGCUUCCACUAAUACUGGGGGCUAAUGACGGUACCGUAAGAAUAAGCACCGGCUAACUACGUGCCAGCAGCCGCAGUAAUAC
rnacentral:rRNA from 1 species